rnacentral:lncRNA from 10 species
CUCUGUCACCCAGGCUAGAGUGCAGUGGUGCGAUCUUGGCUCACUGCAACCUCCACCUCCUGGGUUCAAGCAAUUCUCCUGCCUCAGCUUCCCAAGUAGCUGGGAUUACAGGCGCCUACCACCACACCCAGAUAAUUUUUGUAUUUUUAGUAGAGAUGGGGUUUCACCAUCUUGGCCAGGCUGGUCUUGGACUCCUGACCUUGUGAUCCACCCUCCUUGGCCUCCCAAAAACACAGUUCUCUGGCUUUUUGGAAAACUGAUGCAUCCGAUGUAAAGCCAUGCUAAGGUGGUUUUCAGAUUCCACACAAAAUGUCACACUUGUUUCUUGUUCAUCCAAGGAACCUAAUUGAAAUUUAAAAAUAAAGCUACUGAAUUUAUUGCCGCACCCAUUGCAGUGUUAGCUUCAUGGUAGCUUACUUUUAGUUAUGUCAUUUGGUUAAGAAAUGCAAAUAUUUGGAACGUCAUCAUUCUAUGGCUGUGAAGUUGGCAGUAUAAACAAUUGUCUGGGUGUCCCACUUUUCCUGUGCGUAACCCUGAUCUCGGCUGGGUGCGGUGGCUCACGCCUGUAAUCCCAGCACUUUGGGAGGCAGAAGCAGGUGGAUCACCUGAGGUCAGGAGUUCGAGAGCAGCCUGGGCAACAUGGUGAAACCCUGUCUGUACUAAAAAUACAAAAAUUAGCUGGGCAUGGUGAUGUGGGCCUGUAAUCCCAGCUACUCGGGAGACUGAGGUAAGAAAAUUGCUUGAAUCUGGGAGGUGGAGGUUGCAGUGAGCUGAGAUGGUGCCACUGCAUUCCAGCCUGGGCGAUAGAGUGAGACUGCAUCUCAAUAAAUAAAUAAAUAAACAAAC